rnacentral:tRNA from 1 species
GCCGGCGUAGCUCAGUGGUAGAGCAGCUGAUUCGUAAUCAGCAGGUC